rnacentral:rRNA from 1 species
AUUGAACGCUGGCGGCAGGCCUAACACAUGCAAGUCGAACGAGUGGCGGACGGGUGAGUAAUGUCUGGGAAACUGCCCGAUGGAGGGGGCUAACUACUGUAAACGGUAGCUAAUACCGCAUACCAUCGGAUGUGCCCACAUGGGAUUAGCUAGUAGGUGGGGUAACGGCUCACCUAGGCGACGAUCCCUAGCUGGUCUGAGAGGAUGAACAGCAACACGGGAACUGAGACACGGUCCAGACUCCGACGGGAGGAAGCAGUGGGGAAUAGUGCACAAUGGGCGCAAGCCUGAUACAGCCAUGCCGCGUGUAUGAAGAAGGCCUGCGGGUUGUAAAGUACUUUCAGCGGGGAGGCGUUACCCGCAGAAGAAGCACCGGCUAACUCCGUGCCAGCCGCCGCGGUAAUAC